rnacentral:SRP_RNA from 2 species
CGCCGGUGCCCCCGCGACGUUCAGCCGUGAACCCCGCCAGGCCCGGAAGGGAGCAACGGUAACGGUGCGAACGGGCGCCGGGGUGACGCUGGCGCGG